UACGAAGGGGGCUAGCGUUGCUCGGAAUUACUGGGCGUAAAGGGCGCGUAGGCGGGUCGUUAAGUUAGAGGUGAAAGCCCAGGGCUCAACCCUGGAAUUGCCUUAAUACUGUCGACCUUGAGUAUGGCAGAGGUGUGUGGAACUCCGAGUGUAGAGGUGAAAUUCGUAGAUAUUCGGAAGAGCACCAGUGGCGAAGGCGACACACUGGGCCAUUACGUGACGCUGAGGCGCGAAAGCGUGGGGA
rnacentral:rRNA from 1 species